AAUACUAUAUAAAAAAUAGGUGUUAUAAAUAUAACUCAAUAAGGAAAUCGGUCAGAAUCCGAUACAGCCCCCUCUACUGUGAAACUGACGAAAGUAUAAAAACCACUGAAUUAUUUUCGGGAAGGAUACGAGUAGGAUGAUGUUAGUCAGGAGACUUACCUAUUUAGAAAUUAUAAA
rnacentral:ncRNA from 2 species